GAUGAACGCUGGCGGCGUGCCUAAUACAUGCAAGUCGAGCGAACGGACGAGAAGCUUGCUUCUCUGAUGUUAGCGGCGGACGGGUGAGUAACACGUGGAUAACCUACCUAUAAGACUGGGAUAACUUCGGGAAACCGGAGCUAAUACAGGAUAAUAUUUUGAACCGCAUGGUUCAAAAGUGAAAGACGGUCUUGCUGUCACUUAUAGAUGGAUCCGCGCUGCAUUAGCUAGUUGGUAAGGUAACGGCUUACCAAGGCAACGAUGCAUAGCCGACCUGAGAGGGUGAUCGGCCACACUGGAACUGAGACACGGUCCAGACUCCUACGGGAGGCAGCAGUAGGGAAUCUUCCGCAAUGGGCGAAAGCCUGACGGAGCAACGCCGCGUGAGUGAUGAAGGUCUUCGGAUCGUAAAACUCUGUUAUUAGGGAAGAACAUAUGUGUAAGUAACUGUGCACAUCUUGACGUUACCUAAUCAGAAAGCCACGGCUAACUACGUG
rnacentral:rRNA from 1 species